GGUAAAACUGCCCAGGCCCCGGGUAUCAUGAUCUUACUCAAACCCCAACCCCUGCCCGCCCCAGCCAGUAGGGGAGAGGGUUGGGAGUGGGAGGCCUCGGCGCUGUUCUCUGGAUGCAACUGAGAUUGCCGCUAGAGGCUGACGCCUGGGUCGGAAUCCGAGGAUUUGUGAAGAGGUGACCCAAAUUUCAGACAAUGUUGGAUGCAAACGGAUUUGCCAGCAAUUGCAUCACUGUCAAAACCAGCUCUGCCCGUGUCUUCCGAAGAUACCAAGUGAAAUAUGUGUAGAUGGGAUUUACAUCUGAAAAACCAAGUGAGAAACUGAAGACCAGAGAGGGUGAGUGGUUUACCCAGUUUGGCACAACUGACCCCAACCUAGCCCUCCAUGAGGACUGAGCACAUGAGAGAUCCUGAGCCACAGCCACCCAGCCCUGCUCCUCUCGAAUUUCUGACCUACAGGAAGUGCAAGAAGUAAUGAAAGACUGCUGUUUAAAGCCACUGCAUUUUGGCAUGAUUUGUUAUGCAGUCAUAGAUAACCAGAAAACAUCGGAUUUACAUUUUAAGGUAAACUUUUUUAUUGAAACAUCACAUACACACAGAGAC
rnacentral:lncRNA from 1 species